rnacentral:rRNA from 1 species
GACGAACGCUGGCGGCGUGCUUAACACAUGCAAGUCGAACGGAAAGGCCCUGCUUUUGUGGGGUGCUCGAGUGGCGAACGGGUGAGUAACACGUGAGUAACCUGCCCUUGACUUUGGGAUAACUUCAGGAAACUGGGGCUAAUACCGGAUAGGAGCUCCUGCUGCAUGGUGGGGGUUGGAAAGUUUCGGCGGUUGGGGAUGGACUCGCGGCUUAUCAGCUUGUUGGUGGGGUAGUGGCUUACCAAGGCUUUGACGGGUAGCCGGCCUGAGAGGGUGACCGGCCACGUUGGGACUGAGAUACGGCCCAGACUCCUACGGGAGGCAGCAGUGCGGAAUAUUGCACAAUGGGCGGAAGCCUGAUGUAGCAACGCCGCGUGCGGGAUGACGGCCUUCGGGUUGUAAACCGCUUUCGCCUGUGACGAAGCGUGAGUGACGGUAAUGGGUAAAGAAGCACCGGCUAACUACGUG